AGUAGUAGUAAUAGUAGUUGUAGUGUUCGUAGUACCAGGUCAGUACCUGGUCAGUACCUGGAUGGGAAACUGCCUGGGAACACGGGUGUUGUUGGCU
rnacentral:rRNA from 1 species